AUGUCCUCCUCUUCGUCCUUCUUGUCCUUCGUGUCGCCCUCUUUCUGCUCGGGCUUGGCGUUGUUCUGCAUGGCUUUGGCAAACGCUUCCACAUCUAGAACACGUUAAAGACACAAGGUGGUGUCUAACCCUUGCCCAGAACUGGGGAUCAAAGCGAUGGGAUCAAGGGCAGAAGGGCUGUGACCUUUACCCCCUCAGCCCCACUUCUGCAGAUCCAGGGGGACAGGAAUGGACCCUGCCCCUGGCUCUGGCCUGGAGGUGCAGGCGCAGCCACUUACCGCCCUUGUUGGCGGCCUCCACAGCCUCUGCAGGCAGACCGAACUGGCACAUGAGGGGGCCCAGCUGCCCCGAGGCCAAGGCUGCGCUGAACAUGCCCAGGGCCUGCAAGAAGAGCCAGGCGAGGGCUGAGCUCCAACCCGGGCUGCACCCCAGAGCCACACUGCUCAGCUGCCAGCUCUGCGGGUCAGGCACAUGAAGCACUGGCCAUGGUGAAGGUGGGGCAGGGCCUCCUCCUCCCCCCUGCCCACUCCCUGAGCACACAGUGGAGGACACCCUGGGCCCGGCCUCUACCUGCUGGAACUGGGGCGAGGUCAGGGUAUUCUGGAUCUCAUCCGCGGUCUGCGGCAGCGACUCCCCAGAUGGCAAGUAGGGAAGCAGGCGCUCCUGGACAUCCGCGUUGGCGAGGAUGGGAGCCAUUAUCUCCGGCGUCAGCACACUGGCCAGGUCCACUGGGGCACAAGAACACGGCCAUCAGCUCGAUGACAGCCUAAGUGCCCACAUGGAAGGCAUGCAAGCAGGGACUCAGCCCAUGGCCCCAGCACCCCAGGCGCGCACACUAGGCAGAUGCCUUGGAAGAUUAGAAGAUUCAGUCCAGAUCCCACCCAAAGGGACAAGCAUUUCUGAAGGGCCAAGCACACGGGUCUGCACUCCAUGAGCUGGCAGCAGGCAGGCAGCCAUGUAGGGCCAGGGGACCCAGGGCGCAGGAACCCCAGCUCCCUCCAGUCCUCCAGCCCCACCGCUCGGCCAGCCACCCUCCUCUGAAGUACCCAGCUGGGGUCCUCACCAGGGGCCCAGAAGCCCUCGCCUACCCAGCUCUAGCCACAGGCAAACAAGCGCAUUCCCAAAGGGGAACCAGCUUGCGGACACACAGGCUCCCCGACACUACGCAGACAGAGCCAGCAGAAGUUUAAAGGAAACAGAGACCGGGCCUCAAAGCAUUCCCAGCAGAAGCUGCCCGAGAGCCCGGGUGGCGCACGUUACCCAGUCCUCCAAGGCCGGCUGGUCCGAUGAGCUGCAUGAGCUGGCUGUGGCUCAUGUUUCCCAGCAGGCUCUGCAGGCCACCCUCACCUGGAAAACACUGCAGCUCAGGCGGGCCUGCCCCAGCCAGAUCCACGCGGGCCCCACCGCACUGCCUGCGCCUCUGCUGAGCACCGCACUCGGCUGCCCCUGAACCCUACAGGGGGCACCACUUGAAGUGAGGCGACGGUGGGAUGCAGACCCGUCCUACCCCGUGAAGGUGGGAGUGGGGAGUGACCCAGGGAGCUCACAGGGUCUCUAACUUUUAGAAUCUUCUAUUUCCACUUCCAAACAACCUGUGCUGAGGGGGCGAGUCAUCCACAGUAGACUCUGGCCUCCCAGGAAACCCUGAGCUCACGUGACACAUGUGACAGUUACCGCCUAGCGCAGAGAGUUCGUGGCCGCUGCUUCCGCUGGCCCCCAGCGCCCCAGGCAUCGGGGGGUUGUUCAGAUACUCGUUGACUUUCCGGCAAUGCUCCUCAUCCUGGUCUGUCUUGGGUUCCUGCAAGAGGAAGGGCAUGUAAGGGCAGGAGCUGGCGCCAGCUCACCCAGGGCCACCACAGCCAUCCUCUGACCUGGCUUCCAGGUGAGGGACCUGAGACGCAGAGGCGCGUGUGCCUGGCCACACAAUGCUGAGGAGACAGGACCCGGCCCAGCAGGUGAGGGGACGGCAGUGGCGCCUCCUGAGCACGAUGCUCUGCGCCCUGUCCCCAUCCGCCGCAAUCCCGGGUGUGCCCUGUCCCCCUCCGCCCAUUUCACAAAUGGGGAGCCUAGAGCUCCGAAGGCACUUAGCUGCUGCCAGACCAAGCCCUCUCACCCUCCUGCCCUCUGGGGUGCGGUUCUUUACACACCCGUCUCCUUCCUUCAACCAGUGGAAGGCAGCGAACUGGCCCGCUCAGCACACCGCGGCCCAGGGCCACGGCAGGCGCUCACAAUCGAGCACACGCGUGUGCACACACAUGUGCACAGAUCAGUGUCAGAAGCAUCGACCUGCGAGCUCACAGAGCUGGGAGCAGAGCACCCACGCACACCCCGAAUGGCUAUGGAAGCUGCAGGGCGCCAGGGACACUGGGAGUCCCUGCUCUCAUGGCAAAGCAGGGACGGGGGACUUAAAAGCCACCAACAGGAAAAUCGGGGAAAAAAGGGAGAUGGUGGUAACAGUUGGACACUAUUUCUUGGCAAAACCGUGGAAAAACACGUUCUACACCAGCAGGUGGCAAAUUGUGGCCGCCAUCUGUGUUUGCAAAUAAAGUUUAACUGGA
rnacentral:lncRNA from 1 species